UGGGGAAUAUUGCACAAUGGGCGCAAGCCUGAUGCAGCCAUGCCGCGUGUAUGAAGAAGGCCUUCGGGUUGUAAAGUACUUUCAGUCGGGAGGAAGGUGUCAAGGUUAAUAACCUUGACAAUUGACGUUACCGACAGAAGAAGCACCGGCUAACUCCGUGCCAGCAGCCGCGGUAAUACGGAGGGUGCAAGCGUUAAUCGGAAUUACUGGGCGUAAAGCGCACGCAGGCGGUUGAUUGAGUCAGAUGUGAAAUCCCCGGGCUUAACCCGGGAAUUGCAUCUGAUACUGGUCAGCUAGAGUCUUGUAGAGGGGGGUAGAAUUCCAUGUGUAGCGGUGAAAUGCGUAGAGAUGUGGAGGAAUACCGGUGGCGAAGGCGGCCCCCUGGACAAAGACUGACGCUCAGGUGCGAAAGCGUGGGGAGCAAACAGG
rnacentral:rRNA from 1 species